rnacentral:lncRNA from 1 species
CGCUGGGUGCUGAACGUGAAGCGUGCUGUGCUGAGCCUCCUGCAGGGCCACCCGGGGGCCCACAGCCCCAACACCCUCGAUGAGGUGGACGUCCUGGGCCGAUGUCCCACCACAUACCAGCGCCGUGGGGACUGGCUACACAAGACCAAGGACCUGGCACAGUGCUCCCUGCGCAGGGGACGCUCCUCGCUGCAUUCUCAGGACUUGCCUGGAGUGGCCCCCGGCCUGACUUCCCGCCUGACCUGCGUCCAGAGCUUCCGGGCCGGCGUGCUACGGGAGGCCGCCUGCACAGAGCUGGACACUGCAGGGCCACUGUCUGCAAAGGCGAGCGCUGUGCAGAUGCGGACCCUCUCCUCACUCAGCCUGCUGCACGAGAUGCCCCAAGAUCCAGCGGGCACAGAUCCAGAUGCUGGAGAUGAUGAAGACAUGACCCCAAGCAGCCUGCUGUAUGAGUGGGAGGAGACACCAUCCCAGGCCCUGGUGGCCACCGCAGCCACGUUAGUGAGGAGGCUGUGCCUGGCUCAGACCACUAGCUUAGAGGCCAUGGACUUGUUCCUGACACUGGUGUCCCAGCUCCAGGGCCUUUCAGGGGGUGAGCUGAUGGAACUCUGGCGAGAUUCUUCAUUCAAAUGCCGAGACAACGGG